AACGAACGCUGGCGGCAUGCCUAACACAUGCAAGUCGAACGAGACCUUCGGGUCUAGUGGCGCACGGGUGCGUAACGCGUGGGAACCUGCCCUUAGGUUCGGAAUAACUCCCCGAAAGGGGUGCUAAUACCGGAUAAUGUCUUCCGACCAAAGAUUUAUCGCCUUUGGAUGGGCCCGAGUUGGAUUAGCUAGUUGGUAGGGUAAAAGCGUACCAAGGCGACGAUCCAUAGCUGGUCUGAGAGGAUGAUCAGCCACACUGGGACUGAGACACGGCCCAGACUCCUACGGGAGGCAGCAGUGGGGAAUAUUGGAAAAUGGGCGAAAGCCUGAUCCAGCAAUGCCGCGUGAGUGAUGAAGGCCUUAGGGUUGUAAAGCUCUUUUACCCGGGAUGAUAAUGACAGUACCGGGAGAAUAAGCUCCGGCUAACUCCGUG
rnacentral:rRNA from 1 species